GAAGACACACCUGCACAUGCACAAAUGAGCAAUUUUACAUUCAGAAAACUAAUUAAAUUAGACUGAAUUCCACCUUUUCUUACCGCCUCUACUUUAAUAACCUCUAAUACCGCGUCCUAUUAUCGUCAAACAACGAUGCCAAUACUCAGCGUUGGCUGGUUCUUUAGGAGGUUAUGUGUUAUGACCUCAGGGUCUCUUAAAUGCUUCCAGAGCUAAGCUAUGACAGGCUGACCCCCCCUCCCCCGGACAACCGAUGACAUCGCCUCCAUCUGACUUGAAGUUUGCCCGUUAAUUAAGGCCAUAAACAGCAGGGCAGUUUAGAUCAGUGUUCACCAUUCAUUCACUGUUGACUGCAGACAGAUGGACAUCUGCAGAUACUGUGAUGUCUGGCACCCUCUGCUGGAAUAAAGUGCUUAGAGCUGGAGAGUUAACUGGCUUCACUCCGGGGGUCCGAGUGAGAAGAACUGAGGCCAAAAUCAACAAACAGAAGAAUGAGAAUCAACAGUGGAGAGCUCGAGAAUGCUCCGGGAAACACACUGAUAGAGGAGGUAACAGGGGAAACACCAGAAAGAGAGCAUGCAUUCUUCCACCGGGAGCAGAGAACAGAGGCCCUGUUGUGUCGGCAGCCAUACAACAGCUGGCAGGGGAGCAGGAGUACAGGAUGCCAGGGACGGUCAAAAGUCAGAGAGAACUUGAGACUGUGUGCUUAUGAAAGAG
ensembl:lncRNA